UACAGAGGUCCCAAGCGUUGUUCGGAUUCACUGGGCGUAAAGGGUGCGUAGGUGGCAUGGCCAGUUUGAUGUGAAAGCUCAGGGCUUAACCCUGAAAUGGCAUUGAAUACUGCUGUGCUGGAGGUUUGGAGGGGGGACUGGAAUUCUUGGUGUAGCAGUGAAAUGCGUAGAUAUCAGGAAGAACACCCGUGGCUAAGGCGGCUCUCUAGUACGGUACUGACGCUGAGACGCGAAAGCGUGGGGAGCGAACAGG
rnacentral:rRNA from 1 species